GGGGAAUAUUGGACAAUGGGCGCAAGCCUGAUCCAGCCAUGCCGCGUGAGUGAUGAAGGCCUAGGGUUGUAAAGCUCUUUCAGUGGGGAAGAUAAUGACGGUACCCACAGAAGAAGCCCCGGCUAACUUCGUGCCAGCAGCCGCGGUAAUACGAAGGGGGCUAGCGUUGUUCGGAUUUACUGGGCGUAAAGCGCACGUAGGCGGAUUGGUCAGUUAGAGGUGAAAUCCCGAAGCUCAACUUCGGAACUGCCUUUAAUACUGCCAGUCUAGAGUCCGGAAGAGGUAAGUGGAACUCCUAGUGUAGAGGUGGAAUUCGUAGAUAUUAGGAAGAACACCAGUGGCGAAGGCGGCUUACUGGUCCGGUACUGACGCUGAGGUGCGAAAGCGUGGGGAGCAAAC
rnacentral:rRNA from 1 species